AGAAAGAUCUGGAAAGGUCUACCGUAGAAGGUGAAAGUCCUGUAUUGGUAGUUUUCUUGCGCUGUAUCUCUUCUCCCAAGUAAUGUGGAACACGAGGAAUUCUGCAUGAAUCUGCGAGGACCAAAUCUCGUAAGGCUAAAUACUCUUUCUAACCGAUAGCGCAUAGUACCGUGAGGGAAAGGUGAAAAGAACCCCGGGAGGGGAGUGAAAGAGAACCUGAAAUUGUGUGCUUACAAGCGGUCAGAGCCACUU
rnacentral:rRNA from 1 species